CAAAGCAGUGCCCUGUUGGAGCCAGGCUGAGGGGGGCAGUGGGAGAGCCUUCCCUCUCUGCCAGGCUAGGCAGAAAUGACUCAUCUGUAAGCUAUUCCGUCACCAGGGGAGGCUUGGAGCAGACGCUGGAGGGGACAGUGUUCAGGUAGCCUUCCUGCAAGUGGUGACGCAGGCACCAGACUCUUUGUGCCUCGUGCUGGGACACCUCGCCUCUGCCCAUGCUGUGCCGGCCACCGCUGACGGCGGAGGAGCUGCGAGAUGCGGUGAGGUGGGUGCCUGGGAAGAGGAGAAAAUGGACUUGGUGACCAGCUGCCCGGUCCUGCCACACCAGGUUAGAGCUGGUUUUCACCUCCCGAACGUCACGGUCAGGAGCCUGGUGAAGAGAGACGCGCCGGGCCUAGAGCUCUUGGUCUAGAGGGGGAGAAAGGCUGCCCAGGAGGGGAGGUG
rnacentral:lncRNA from 1 species